CAGUCGCCACGGUAAUACGUAGGGUGCGAGCGUUAAUCGGAAUUACUGGGCGUAAAGCGUGCGCAGGCGGUUUUGUAAGACAGGCGUGAAAUCCCCGGGCUCAGCCUGGGAAUGGCGCUUGUGACUGCAAAGCUAGAGUGCGGCAGAGGGGGAUGGAAUUCCGCGUGUAGCAGUGAAAUGCGUAGAGAUCAGGAGGAACACCGAUGGCGAAGGCAGCCCCCUGGGCCUGUACUGACGCUCAUGCACGAAAGCGUGGGGAGCAAGCAGGAUCAGAGACCCCUGUAGUCCCUGUCUCUUAUAC
rnacentral:rRNA from 1 species